GUGUCAGCAGCCGCGGUAAUACAGAGGGUGCGAGCGUUAAUCGGAAUUACUGGGCGUAAAGCGUGCGUAGACGGCUAUCUAAGUCGGGUGUGAAAGCCCCGGGCUCAACCUGGGAAUUGCAUUCGAGACUGAAUAGCUAGGGUGCGGUAGAGGGAAGCGGAAUUUCCGGUGUAGCGGUGAAAUGCGUAGAUAUCGGAAGGAACAUCAGUGGCGAAAGCGGCUUCCUGGACCAGCACCGACGUUCAGGCACGAAAGCGUGGGGAGCAAACAGGAUUAGAUACCCUGGUAGUCCACGCCAUAAACGAUGAGGACUAGACGUUGGAGGGGUAAGCCUUUCAGUGUCGUAGCUAACGCGCUAAGUCCUCCGCCUGGGGAGUACGGCCGCAAGGUUGAA
rnacentral:rRNA from 1 species